UUGGCCAAAUGCAUCCACAACAUGAGAGUGAAAUCCAGACACUUGUCAAUAAUAUGCUGGAAACAACGCAUCUACUCUCUCUCCCUUCUAUUAUCAUAUCCUCUCUUUAUCAGGCUGUAAGCUAAGUGAAUGUGAUUUGUUAUAAGUAGAGCAGUCUCAAGUACCCUCCUCCACCAUCAAGAGAAUUGAGAGAGCAAUUGGUGUGGCUGUGGCGAGGAGAUCAUAUAUCUCACAUAAAUAAGAGUAUGGUUUUGGGUCGCAUGCUUGCGUGGAACCAUCAAAACUUUGCAUUUGAAAAGGGGUGAUGGUGCCACGCUGUGUGCGCCUAAAAUGCAUAUUCUUCUACUAUAUUUGAUGAAUGUUGGAAAAUGUGCAAAGCUUAGCACUAAGGUUAAAUCUUCACUUUGAAAUGAUGUGAUGCCUCUCUGUUUUCUAUGGACUUCCAUUUCAUGUCUUCUUGUUAAUUUCCCCUCCUUGUCCCCCGGAUUUCAUAAUUUCUGUCCAUUAUUUUAUUGUAUCUAUUUAGAUUUCUUGUUCUUGUGUUAGCAGGUAGGGUAGUAGCUGACUGAUAAGCUCCCAGUACAGAAUUAACAACCCUGGGCUUUUUGAUGUUUUGACAAGAAAAAAAAGAUUACAAAUUAGAGUAGAGAUAUCAGUUGGUUUGUUUGCAGGACAGUAAAGGUCUCUACUGUCUAGCUGAAGAUCAAGUGACCACUUCCUUAAGAAAAUGCUGGUUUGAAAACAAUUAGCCAUCCACCCCCACGAUGGACUGCGCUUUCGCUGAGAUUAACUUUGAAAUUAAUUCAAAAUGUGUGGUUGAAUUCAAAACUAAUUAUGAGGUUGGGGUUAAAAUGGAAAAAUGAUCUUUAAAUAUAAUGUAUAUAUAAACUAAAAAUUAUUAAUGAUUUGAUAUUUAACACUGUAGUUUUAUUAAUAAAAUAAUAUUGUGUAUCAUAAUAUUUGUCUUUAUUUUUAUUAUUUUUUAAAAUAAUGUUUACAUCAAUUUAAGUGUAUUGGUAAUUGGAUUAUAUGUAUUUUUAUAAUAUUUAACGUAUAAAACUUUAAAAUUCAGAUAAAUACUUUAAUGAUUUAUUUAAUAAUUAUUUUAAAUUAUUUAUUAUAUUAAAUGAUAAAAUUUUAAUAAAUUAUAUUUAAUUAAGAAUUAUUUCAAACAAAUGAGAAUAAUUGUAAGUUUAUUGAUAUGGAAUAGAAAUAAAUAAAAUGUGAGUAUUUGAUAUUAUUUUACAACAGUUUUAAAAAAUUGUAGUGUAUCUUUUUUAAUAUUUUAUCUAGAAUUUAAAAACUUCACUAAAUAUUUCCCCAAAAUGAUAUAUUUGUUAAAGGAGGGUCCAAUUAAUAUUUAGUGAGAAUUCGAGACAUCAAUUGGCAAAGUACAUUGAUCUCAUGUUAUCGAAACACAAGUUUGCAUUGCAACAGAAAUUUUCAAGAGCUAAUAAUGGAGCUGGAUGCACCAAAUUGAAUUUAAAUGCGCAUCCAAAAGGACACUAAGAGAAAAUGGUGAUCCCCUUUUCACCUUUGUUAUAGACACCAAUAAAAAACAAUAGUUGGGCUGGGACAAAUUUGGUUUCUUGACCUAUUCUCUUUGGUUUGCUAGCUUAGCGUACGUGGAAGAAUAGAAUUUUUUUUGUCUUUUAAGGAUUAAUAUGGAGUCUUAUAGAAAUUAUUAAGAUAUCAGUAAAUUCAAUGUAUAUGUAGGAUCUGCCUAGUUAGUGCAAUUUAGAUUUUGAGCGCCUCUUGAGAGGGACUUUGGAAUGAUAAAUAGUUGAAAUUUGGUUGUAUUUAUUUAGCCUAGUUGGUUUUUUACAAAAUAAAUAAAUAAGAUUUGAAAUUGGUAUUUAAAUUA
rnacentral:lncRNA from 1 species